rnacentral:rRNA from 1 species
CCCUGCACUUCGGGAUAAGCCUGGGAAACUGGGUCUAAUACCGGAUAGGACUCCUGGCUUCAUGGUUGGGGUGUAAAGCUUUUGCGGUGUGGGAUGGGCCCGCGGCCUAUCAGCUUGUUGGUGGGUAAUGGCCUACCAAGGCGACGACGGGUAGCCGGCCUGAGAGGGUGACCGGCCACACUGGGACUGAGAUACGGCCCAGACUCCUACGGGAGGCAGCAGUGGGAAUAUUGCACAAAUGGGCGCAAGCCUGAUGCAGCGACGCCGCGUGAGGGAUGACGGCCUUCGGGUUUGUAAACCUACUUUACAAUAGGGACGAAAGCGCAAGUGACGGUACCUAUAGAAGAAGGACCGGCCAACUACGUG